UGGAUGGCUUACAAUUCAUCUCAACCACCUACUAGCUGAGUUUCCGUGGUUAAAUUGUUCAGAUUAAGUUUCUUCCUCCUUAUUGAUCAAAAAGGAAUGAUAGUUUCUACCUUCCUCAAUUUUGGCACAGAUUCACUUACACGUAGAGCAUACAAAACAAAAAACAAAAAAAGCCAACAACAACCUUACCUCGGUGUAGACGAAGUCCAGAAAUGUUGAAAUCCUUACUAUCAUUAUACUAGUUAAUUUACCUCUAAACGUCGUGGGGCUCUUUCCUUUCCUCGGCAGGUGAAAGGAGGGUGCGAACGUGAAGGAAGGAAGGCGCCCACUGCAGCUGCGCGGCAGGGAGGCACGUGGGGGCGGGGCUGCCCGGAAGGUGCGCGUCAGAGGUCGGGGCCUCGGAGGGCUUUGACGACGUCCCACGUGUCCUUCACCCGGUGCUGGCAGUAAUAAUCCCCGCCCCCCGCCUCCCGGACGACAGAAGCGCAGUCGGACGGGCGUGGCGCCGCCCAGCGUGUUCUGGAAGAAGCCACCCCGCAGCACAGUGGUGCCCAGGAGCCUGCGGGGUGAGAAGGUGGUCUCAGCCGGAGGGAGAAGGUUUUUGGCAACAAGGGAUGAGAUUUGAAGCUGAAUGUUAAGGGCCUAUAGGGCAAGAUGCUCAGACAAGGCACCUGCUGAACCCUUCGAGUUCACUGCUCUUCUUGUCCCCAAGAGCUGUGGGAUGAACCAGAAAAAUCAUGCUCCCUAUGUUGUUUUGAUUAUGGUAGCAAGAGAUCCAGUGGACACUUGUGAGCUGAAAUUUGGUGGUGCUGUCAGGCCUGGGACUUCAAUCUGCAGAGAAGCAAUUCCAAGUUGCUGUGGGUGUCUGUUGUAGAGGAGACCUCUGGAGAAGGCAGUGAGUGAGAUGCUGUGAUUCUCUCAACUCCAGACUUGGACUUGAGGCUGUAAAUGAUGAGUGGACUAUCUAUUGUGUCAUCACUAACAAAUCCAGAUAAGCUCUGAGGUGAGAACCACCCCUAGAUGAUCAGGCAAAGCCUGACAAGAAGCCAAGAAUCAGCUCCUGAUGGGGGCUCCGUGAAUGCAUGCACCACUCUUAACCAAGGCAUUUUCACUCUGUAAUUUGCAUGGUGUAUUUUCUGUCUACCCUGCCUGAAAAUAUUUCCUUUUGGACUUAGCUACAAAGCAAAAUUCUUGGUACUGUUGGAAGGUGCACAGAAACGCACUGAAAAAAAACAUUCACCUAUAAGAAAUUUGAUUCCCAGGAGGAUGAAUGAGCUCUUGAGGUCAAGUGUAGCUCUAGAAUUUUAUGAAUGUAUGGGAUUUUUUAUUUACUGCUCUGUGAAUUGCCUCCUAAACUAAGAAAAUGCUCAAGGUUCUUUUGGAUACAAGAAACCUCUGGGUACAAUGUUCUUAUACCAAGAGUGACCACUGACUAUAAAGAGAGUUCUUAGAAAGAGAACAUGAAUGAAAGUCAAUUAACAAUGAGUUACAACUCCUUAAAUACAAGAGUUCCUUAUAACCUUACAAAAGAGCAUUUGUAAUUUCAAACUACUAAGAAGGAGAUGAACCACCCACCUUCCAGCUAAUGAUGUUUUCUUAUAAACAGAUUUCAGUAAAUGACAGUCUUAAUCUAAAAUGUGGGUCUGUGAUCCCAACUGCUACAACAUUCUGGCAUUGUCUUGAUUGGUCAUAGCAAUAUAUACACUUACUACAAUAGAGAGUACUGCAUUGUGAGUACCGACAUCACACAGUUGUCUUUAAUUUUUAUUAAAAAAUUUUUUUUACCGUUUAUUUAUUUUUGAGACAGAGAGAGACAGAGCAUGAACGGGGGAGGGUCAGGGAGAGAGGGAGACACACAAUCUGAACCAGGCUCCAGGCUCUAAGCUGUCAGCACAGAGCCCGACGCGGGGCUUGAACUCACAGACCACGAGAUCAUGACUUGAGCUGAAGUCGGACACUUAACUGACUCAGCCACCCAUGCGCCCCUUUUUCUCACAGUUGUCUUACUUUAAAUAUCUCCUCUUCCAACCUCUCUGUUGCCAGAGACUUCCAUGCCUGACUUUGUUUCUGAAAAGAAAUCACAUUGAAAUACAGUGUUAUCUCAGAUAGGAAACAUAAAAUGGGCUUGGCUGCUUGUCAAUCUGUCAAGUGUCUCUGUCAACAUCUUUCCCUCUUUCCUUCACAUUUGAGGAAAGAAUUUAAAAAAAGGAUCUUUCCCCAUCUUAGGGUUCAGGGGGACAUCUACCCAACUCAUUUUGUGAUGGACAAGAAAGGUUCCUGGUCUAAAAAAUCAUACUUAGGAUAGCGGAAAUGACAUCAAAUUGUAGUUUUCUCUU